UAGUAACUGCGAGUGAAGCGGGAAAAGCUCAAAUUUGAAAUCUGGCAGUCUCUUUUCUAUUUUGGCUGUCCGAGUUGUAAUCUAGAGAAGUGUUACCUGCAUUGGACCAUGUACAAGUCUCCUGGAAUGGAGCAUCAUAGAGGGUGAGAAUCCUGUCUUUGACAUGGACUGCCAGUGUGUUGUGGUAUGCUCUCAAAGAGUCGAGUUGUUUGGGAAUGCAGCUCUAAAUGGGUGGUAAACUCCAUCUAAAGCUAAAUAUUGGCGAGAGACCGAUAGCGAACAAGUACCGUGAGGGAAAGAUGAAAAGAACUUUGGAAAGAGAGUUAAACAGUAUGUGAAAUUGUUGAAAGGGAAACACUUGAAGUCAGUUGUGUCUGCUAGGGAUCAACCUAGUUGAAUUGCUGGGUGAACUUUCUAGUGUGACAGGCCAACAUCAGUUUUGACUGUUAGAAAAGAGCGGAAGGAAUGUGACACCUUCGGGUGUGUUAUAGCCUUUUGUUAUAUGUGGCAGUUGGGACUGAGGAAUGCAGCGCGCCGCAAGGACAGGGUCUUUGACCACAUUCGCGCUUAGGAUGUUGGCAUUUAAU
rnacentral:rRNA from 1 species